CGUUCACAUAGAGCCACCAUUCAAACUUUAAAACGAAGACAAGACAUUCAACUAUUCAACUUGUAUUUAUCUUUUCAAUAUCUAUUAUACUUUUUCUUCAGUUCCAGUUUAAGUUUCAUGAUGUUUUUUCACCCGUUUCAGAGUUUAUAAUGGGUGUGUAUGGGACGGAAUGUUGGGGCUAGAGUGAGGCAGCUCAACUGCUAGAGUGAGAGGAGCAAAAAAAUUAAUCUUAAAAUCUUUUUUAAAACUGCUGCUGUGUCCACAGCGUUUGCUCUACAGGUAUGAUUUUACCCUCAAAACGUAGCCAUGGCUGUCCUCUUUCAUCCAAUGUGUUUACUAUUGUCCUAGGUGUUAUGGUUCUUUCAUAAAUGUCACCAAUGCACAGCCUCCUCCCUCCAACUCUUCCAUAGACUCUAAUGUUAAAACGGCUCAGAAGGUUGGUUUGAAAAUCAGAAGAGCAUGGUGUUUUUACACUGUCACCACGUCCAUAUAAUAAACUCCACAGGCAUGAAAACUGAGAAUUCAGUAGACUAGAAGCUGCUGUCGCUCACGGUGAAAGAAUUUCGUCAAUACGACUUGUACUUUUCAUAUGGGAACGAUUUGUUUCGGCCUGACUUUUCUGUUCAUUUUAAGCAGCAAAAGUGAGGUGCAUGUCUGUGUACGUGUGUAUGGAGCCAUUGGGUGCGGUCACUAUAGCAACCAGGCUCACACCUGCCUGCUUAACGAGCUCUGCCUGCCACUCUGCCAAGAUUCAUCUUAAGCACUUCUCUUUCAACUGCUGCUGUGUCCACAGUGUUAAAGCCAUCAUUUUACCCUCAAAACGUCGCCAUCGUUGUUCUUUUUCCAACAUCUUGUCUUUCAAAGCUCAGAGAUGUAAACUUUUUAAACUGUGUGGGUCCAAGUGGAGGGAUCACAUUUUAGUCAUUCAGUGAUUCAAAGAAUAUAACCUUUUAAUAUUCUUUCAGAUGUUUUCUGACUCUAAAUGUUCUUUUCUCAUUUCUUAGGUUUUUCUAAUUUACAAUUAAAACAUUUUCAGCUUUUUUCCAACUUCUUCUUCUGUGUAACCUUCAGCUUUUAGCAGUUCAGCACUUUUGUUUUCAGGUUAAAUUCGUUUUUUUUUUUUGUUUUUUUUUUAUCUCAUUCAAUAUUUUUAACUCAAAAUUCAGCAAUUAAUUCAUUUCAGUGCAUACAUUCAGAUUCAAGCAUUCACACUGCAGUUUCUUCAGAAAAUGCACUUUCUAGUUAUUAUUAUUAUAUUUAUCUAUUCCGUACGUUUUUUGUAAUCCUAUAACUUCAAAACCGUUCAACUUAGAAAAACCAUUCAAACACCGUUAGAUUCCUAUUCUUUUGGACAACACUGCUUCUAUUUUUCAUAUUUUUAACAUUUAUAUUUUUAAUUUUAUUCAACUUUAUUCAACAAAAAUUUAUAAUGUAUUUCAAUGGGGAGACCCUUCAAAUCCUCAUUCAACUUACUCAUUUUUAAACUCUUACUACUUCCACAUACAUUGACAUAGAGCCACCAUUCAAACUUUAAAACGAAGACAAGACAUUCAACUAUUCAACUUGUAUUUAUCUUUUCAAUAUCUAUUAUACUUUUUCUUCAGUUCCAGUUUAAGUUUCAUGAUGUUUUUUCACCCGUUUCAGAGUUUAUAAUGGG
ensembl:lncRNA